rnacentral:rRNA from 1 species
AUUGAACGCUGGCGGCAGGCCUAACACAUGCAAGUCGAGCGGCGCGGCGGACGGGUGAGUAAUGCCUAGGAAUCUGCCUGGUAGUGGGGGAUAACGUCCGGAAACGGGCGCUAAUAUCGCAUACUAUCAGAUGAGCCUAGGUCGGAUGAGCUAGUUGGUGGGGUAAAGGCCUACCAAUGCGACGAUCCGGAACUGGUCUGAGAGGAUGAUCAGUCACACUGGAACUGAGACACGGGCCAGACUCUGACGGGAGUGAGCAGUGGGGGAUAUUGCACAAUGGGCGAAAGCCUGCUGCCGCGACGCCGCGUGGGGGAUGAAGGCUUUCGGGUUGUAAACCUCUUUCGCUAGCGAACGGGUAGGUGGAGAAGAAGCGCCGGCUAACUACGUGCCAGCCGCCGCGGUAAUUC